AGAAACAAAACAUGUUCUUUGUGUUUUUUUCUUUAAUCUCUUUUGCCUCAAUUUUUUUUUCUCAGAAAUAAUCCCUGAGCUUGUUUAUCGUUAAAGCAAGAAAGUUGAUGGAAAUGGGUUGUCUUUGAGAGGAAUGUUGGCUGGCUCGAUGCGACAGCUUUGAGAUUGUAAAGUGUGAUCAAAGUAAAAGGUAUCAUCGGACCAGGCUUCAUUCCCCUCAAACAUUUUCAUUUUUAAGGCAAAGUUGAAGGAAAAAAACUGUGUAAAAGGAGAAACGGUUGAUGGGAAUGUUGUUUGGCUCGAGGUCAUAUAGGUUGAUCUUUUAUAUAUAAUUUCCAUGAAAUUUUCUUGGAUUUAUUUAAAUUUUCCGGGAAAGUUUCUGGAUAUGUGUAUAUAUAUAGCCUUAUAUGAUCUCGGACCAGGCUUCAUUCCCGUCAGCCAAACACUUCCUCCGACCAGUCAUGAGUUGUCGUUGUUUAGUUUCAGGCAAUGGCUUGUGGGGUUAAAAAAUGGGAGUAGUUUUUAAGGUGUCUUUUUUGUGUGCAUGGAAUCAUUUUGUCACACUUGUCAAAGAUGCUAACAAACAAAGAUAAAAAAAAAAAAAGAGAUGCCAUUGACUUAGUUUUUAAUUUGAUGCCUCUUUUUGUGUUGACCAUGUCUCUUCUUUCCAUGUUUGAUGACAAAUUGUUCCUACACAUAAAUGAAAAAUCUAUGGUCUUUACUAAUUAAUUAAUGGUAAAAUCUCUUUUCAAUGUAUAGUAAUUAAUUAAUAAUAAUUUUUUUAACAAUUUCAUUAUAAGCUUUUGUAGUCUUUUCUUAACCAUUAAAUAGAAAAAUAUUGCAUUUCAGUGCAUCUGAAACCAUGUCUUUUUGUACUGGCAACAAUGCUCGUACCAAUCGAGUUAAGAUUCAAUUGGCAUAAAUUCUCUUUUCUAAGUAGACUACUAUUUUUCUUAUAUCCUCUAAAAUAUUUAGGAUUUAAACUCGAGUUUUCUUUAAUAUACUUAAUUAUUACAUCCAAUAUUUUAUUGUUUUUUUUAUUGUGAAGGAUAAAAUAGUAAUUUUAUUUUUAGUAGCCUACAAGGAGAUAAGAAAAUUUGAACAUCAUCUACCCAUAUUGCCUUAGCAGACAUGAAUGAAGUAAACCCUCACAUAUGUAUGUAUGAGAAAAAAAAGUAGGUUUGCCAUUUCAUGCACGAAUGUUCAGUGGGUAUAUCUAUUGUUUUGCUGUAUAUACAUACAAAGGUACGUACGUACAUACAUACAUACAUACAUACAUAUAUACAUAUGUGUCUUUAAUUUGUUUUUCGCUUCUUUUGGUCAAGGUUGGAUAUGGUGAAAUUACAUAGAAGUCUCGAAGAUGAGGGCUUUGAUUCCCAUGUGAAGUGAAAUGUAUAUCAUAUUGGGUCUUGGUUUUAUAUGCAUCAUUCAUGUUUUUUUUGUCUUUUAAGAAUGUAACUUCCGAUGCCCAGUAUGAUCAACUGAGCAGGAAAAACAAUGUAACUGAUGCAUUAACUCCUCUGUAUGUAUGUAUGUACGUAUGUAUGUUGCAUUACCUUGAUUAUAUGCUACUGAUUUCAUACUUGAUUAUACUUAAACUUCUUGCAAUAUAUGAAAAAAGAUGUAAAUAUAGAAAUUAAAUUUACAUUUAAGUAACAUUUAUUUAAAUUUAUUCUUAAAUGUACUGAAUAAAACCACCACAAUAUUUCUCCCAAUAAACAAAAAUUGACAAUUAUGUAAAUAUAGAAAUUAAAUUUACAUUUAAGUAACAUUUAUUUAAAUUUAUUCUUAAAUGUAUAUUUCUCCCAAUAUACUUAUCAUAUUUUUAAAAUAUGUUCGAGGUUAAUGGUUGUCCCUCUCAAUAAUAUCGUCUUCAAAAUUUGACGUAACUAUCUUAUUUAUUUAAACAAAAUAUAAAUUUAUAUUUUCAUAUUAUAUAAGUGGUGUUUAAAAAUUUCACAAGUAAAAUUAAAUAGGCAGCAUAUGAGUUUUUUUAAAAAUAAACAUAUAAUAGUAUUUAAAAUUUAAUUAUUAAAUUAAAAUUUUAUUAACAAUUUAUAAAAUAAAAUCCCAUUUUACAUUUUAAUUUUAUUCAAAUUUCAAUUAGUUAAUUCGUGAAACUAAAUUUAACUCAAAGUUUUAUAAUAAUAUCAUGGGUGAAGGGUGUGGGUAUGGUAUAAGGGUAGAGAUGGGUCUGAGAUGGGCCUUCACUGUCUUAGUUGAAUGGAAUAAUAUUAGUUUUAGUCCCUUUCAAUUAUCAAGUAUUCAAUUUAAAAUUUUAUUUUGAUACCAAUACCAUAUAGAUAAGAUUUAAAAAAUUGCAAUAUUUUAAAAAUUCAUAAUUAAAGCACAAUAUUAUUUAUUAUCGCAAGCAAACUACUACAGCUUAGUUUUAUUUAAUGAAAUAAUCAUAAAUAGAACUUGUGUGUUGACUUGAUAGUUAGGGCGUUUAUCGCUUCAAGUGUGGCUUGGGUUCGAGUCGUGUUGUUGUUUGGGCUUUGCCCUCCUCUAAUAAUUCAUCAAGAGAAAAGUAUAAAAUAGAAAAAUAAAAUUUAGGUCCCACCUUCAUAAAAUGAAAAUUUUACACUUUAAUCCUUGCACUUUUUAAAUUUAUUCAAUUUAAUCCCUAUCUUAAUUUUUUAAAAAAUUAACAGUCCAGUGACUUAAAUAAAAACUUUCGAAUAGUUUAAUGACCAUUUUGUAACUUCUUGAAAUUAAAUGACCAGAACGUAAACUUACUAAUAAUUUAAUGACUCGAGUGUAAGUUACCCUAUUUGUUGUUGUUGUAUUCAUAAUCCUGGAUCCACCAAAACUUAAUCUGGCAACGGCAUUUCUCUUUUCUUGAAAAUCAAAACUUCACAGAGUACAUUUUUGGAAACUAGGAUUCUCUUUGAUUGACUUAACUUUUUCAGUGUCUGGUUUUAAGCAGCACUCACCCCUAUUUGUCCCUUAAUGUUAUUUUCACAGGUCACUGCCCAAUCGUGUAUGUAUAUCUUGCAGGGAACCCCUCAAUGAUUUUAGAAACCUUUCUUUCCCAGUCAAUAGCCAUAAUGUGCCGAUCGCAGUUCAAAUUCAUUAUUAGACACUAAAAAGAACACUACUCUAGGCUAAGUUCCGAGCACACUACAUGGCUUUUGUUUUGUCAAGGUCUUCUUAAAACUGCUGCAGUUGAUUCAAAUAGAUAUGGCUGAUGUUGAUAGAGGAGAAUCACCUUCAAGGCUAGAGGGUAAGUUUUGUGCGGCGGUAGCUUGUUGGAUUCUUGGAUUUGGUUCUCUCAUCUGUUGGAAUAGCAUGUUGACAAUGGGAGAUUAUUACUAUCAUCUAUUCCCUGUAAGUAACUUCUUUUCCCUUAGAAAACACUAAAAAACAACAAUUACGUUUUUUAGUGACGAUAUAUACUGACAAUAAAGAGUUUCGUCACAAAUAAUUUAUUAUUUGUGACGAAUUUUAUUUGCAACACUAAUGAAACAAGUAAGAUCAUUUAUUUAGUGACGUCUUCAUAAUGAUUGUUGCAAGUACAACUUCCGAUAAGUGAUCUAUUCUUACUUUCUGUUUUAUGCUCUAGAAAUACAAGAUCAGUUAGUCCGAAUUACAAUAUAUAUGUAAUUUUUCAGCUGAUGAUGUGAUACAAUCUUAAAAUAUCAGAUUCAGUGUUCAGAUCAUCGGUUUUCGAUUCAAUCAAUGCGACUGUUGGACCAAUAAUAAUUAAAUGGUUAAUUAAAAAUUCAUAAAAAUCUAAAAUAUUUUAAAAAAUAAAAUCAGUUCAACCUGUUUAGCUGUCGAUAUCUUGAUAAGGUGUGACAAUUAAGCGAGUUUUUGAGCAGCUUACUUUGAAAACCAUUAUGCUAUUGAUGGUUUCGGUUAAUCAAAUCUUAGGGAAAAGGUACUUUUUUUAUAAGCGAAGAUGUAAGUUGGAAUCAUGUACGUGAAGGUAGCAAGCAAAACUGUGAACAACAUACGGAUGCUCAGCUGGGAUGACGGUCUAUCAGCACCGAGGAGUGAGCUUGACACUUGAGCUCUUGCCAACUAGCCUGUUUGCUUUAAAAAAGAUUAGCUUGCCAUGCAAGCAAAGAAACCAACAACCAUUUUUGUAUUUUAGACUUCUCUUGCUGCAAAAGUUUUAGAAUUUCAAGAUGUAAUUCUCAGUUAUUGGAAACAAAUUGCAUGCAGAACCAAAGCUUGAUUAAUUCUUAGCUAUUAGAUAUCUCAAUAUCACUUGCAAACAAUACAGUAGGUACAGAUGGUUAUUGGCUUAUCGAUUUUGUCAAAGUGAACCAAAAUAUAGAAGCAAUGGUAGAAACAUAUAUCUGUUUUUUUUCA